CGAACGGCUCAACUGCUGUGAUGCCGUGACCGUCCAGUCCACCUUUUCCCUCCGCCUCCCAUACUCCGCCGCCGGCGCAACCCCCCUGUCCGUGUUCGCGGAGAUGGGGAACAUCUUCGUGAAGAAGCCCAAGAUCACGGACGUCGACAGGGCCAUCCUCACCCUCAAGACGCAGCGCCGCAAGCUCGCCCAGUUCCAGCAGCAGCUUGAGAAGGUAAUCGAAGCAGAAAAGGAAGCUGCACGGCAGUUGGUUCAACAGAAGAAGAGGGACAGAGCUUUGAUUGCUCUGAAGAAGAAGAAAGCUCAGGAGGAGCUGUUGAAACAAGUUGACACAUGGCAAAUGAAUGUUGAACAACAGCUGACAGACAUUGAACUAGCAAGUAAACAAAAGGCUGUAUUUGAAAGCCUGAAGGCUGGAAAUGCUGCCCUUAAGUCUAUACAGAAUGAAAUAAACAUUGAUGAUGUCCAGAAGCUGAUGGAUGAUACAGCCGAGGCUAAGGCUUAUCAAGAUGAAAUAAAUGCUGUUCUAGGCGAGCAGCUAUCGGCUGAGGAUGAAGAAGCUGUUAUGGCUGAGUUUGAGAAUUUGGAAGCUCAGCUUGCCGUCGAGUCUUUGCCAGACGCACCUGUUACUGAAGUACGGCCUGAAGAGAAAAUGAAAGCACCGGCUGACACAGAAGCUGCAUCUGAGGACAUUGAUGAGGUUAUUGAGCUUCCUGAUGUGCCUACGAAAGUGCCGGAGAGACCAGAAGCUCCUGAAAAAACGAAAGUUUUGGAAGAGCCGCUACCUGCAUAGUGGAUGGAGCUGAGAUCAAUAGGGCACUCUCGGUUUGCAGUUGUAACAUACCCAUCAUUUCAUUGUACUACCCCAUUCUCAGCCAUCUCAGAAUUUUAUUCUGUACAGCAUGAAAAAAAAAUUGUUGCUCUCGACUAUUGAUUAUUGCCAGGUUGGAUUUCUCAGUGUCCAUUUAUAGUCCAAUCCUACCAGGCAACACAUAAUGUUUUGGAUGCAUUUCUCUGAAGGCAGAAAUGCUGAAGUUCUGAAGCACGUGCCUUUUCUUCCGUAGGACUAUGAAUAUAUAUGAUUGUGUUCAAAGCUGUAAAAGAUUGUGACCUUUCCGGGUGUCA